rnacentral:lncRNA from 1 species
GCUUUAUCUUCUUUAUUUUUCUGCUUCCUUUUUCAUUUUGCAGCAGCUUUUCCUUUUCUUUUACUGUUCCAUUGAGCUCUAUCAGGUGCUCGUCUUCUGUUGGAGGUAUUUAUAGAUUUAUUUAAGUUGAAUAUUUUGUAAAUUGAUAUAAUACAGUUGAAUUUGAUUAACAAUUUCGAAUUCUGACAAAUUCUUGAAAGUUUCUUUCUUUACGGGUAAGGUUUAGAAUUUACUUAUCGGGUAAAGUUCAGAUAGUAUUACCACUGAUUUUCUUUGUUUGACAGGACAUGGACAUGGACAUGGUUUUGAUCAUUCUUGUACCGUAUCACAUAUUUUCCCAUUUACUAAAGCCCAUUUCAUCUUUUUUUUUUUUUAUUCUUUGACUCUUAAUAUAAGAUAUGUUUUUGGAGAUCAAUUAGAGUAUUUCUUUACGAAACUUUGUCAAACUGUUCAUUUUUACUUUGUUUUGGACCUGAUCUGUAGCAUUAGAUAUUUUUGGGAGUCAGAUUUAAAGUUGUAUUUUUAAGUAAAAAAUUUGAACCUUUUUGUUUGUCUUUUAUUGUUGCCUUAUUUUGUUUAGACUUGUGUAUCAUUUCCACAUAUUUUGAUGAUAUUUCCAUUUGAC